UCUCCUCAUCUUCUGCCACUGCCGCUCUCCAUCGGCUGGCCAACUCCCUCAGUUCUACCCCUCCCCACACGAGCACCUCCCAAUCCUCCUCCUCUGUGUGUGUGCGCGCGCACGCGUGCUUGAUUCGGAUUCACCCCUUUUCUGGCUGCAGCAUAGAGGAGAGCUCACUGCUGCGGUGGGCAUUGAUAGUGGAGAGCUGGGAGCCGGCUAGAUCCUCGCCAACGAGGGCCGUCAUGGCCUCCACCUCUGUCCUGUUGCCGGUGGACUGCUGGACGUCGAUACAUCGAUACGGUCUCCUACAACUAGAGGAGCGAAAACUUACAGCAGCAUCUCCGGCACCCUCCUGACCAUGACCACUAUGUUGACAAGAAAGGUUCAGCUGAUAAGACAAUUAUUUUUUGGGACCUUGGGACUUUUGACUUGAUUGGAUCCUCUGGACAGGAGAUUGAAAUGUUUUCUUCUAGAUACUCAAGCAUGGGAGGCAGCAUGGAUUUAUUUAUGAAAGGUGGCAGACACAACCAUGAGGUGUUCACACACAUUUACCUGCAUUCUUAUCUUGACCAUGGGAGCCAAUUCUGAUACAUGCCGACAGUACAGAAAUGUACGAUCAUGAGAGAGAGGACUAAGGCUAUAGAAUUUGUGACUAUGUAUAAGGGCUCUUCAUCAAGUGUGUGCACUGUACUUUAUGAAUUUUUAUUUGUGAAUUUUUUCAUGAUAUGUUGCACAAUGUCGCAGAAUGUAACAUGAAAAAGAA